rnacentral:rRNA from 1 species
GAUGAACGCUGGCGGCGUGCCUAAUACAUGCAAGUCGAGCGAACAGACGAGGAGCUUGCUCCUCUGACGUUAGCGGCGGACGGGUGAGUAACACGUGGAUAACCUACCCAUAAGACUGGGAUAACUUCGGGAAACCGGAGCUAAUACCGGAUAAUAUAUUGAACCGCAUGGUUCAAUAGUGAAAGACGGUUUUGCUGUCACUUAUAGAUGGAUCCGCGCCGCAUUAGCUAGUUGGUAAGGUAACGGCUUACCAAGGCAACGAUGCGUAGCCGACCUGAGAGGGUGAUAGGCCACACUGGAACUGAGACACGGUCCAGACUCCUACGGGAGGCAGCAGUAGGGAAUCUUCCGCAAUGGGCGAAAGCCUGACGGAGCAACGCCGCGUGAGUGAUGAAGGUCUUCGGAUCGUAAAACUCGGUUAUUAGGGAAGAACAAAUGUGUAAGUAACUAUGCACGUCUUGACGGUACCUAAUCAGAAAGCCACGGCUAACUACGUG